rnacentral:rRNA from 1 species
AAAGCGCGCGUAGGUGGUUUGUUAAGUUGAAUGUGAAAUCCCCGGGCUCAACCUGGGAACUGCAUCCAAAACUGGCAAGCUAGAGUAGGGCAGAGGGUGGUGGAAUUUCCUGUGUAGCGGUGAAAUGCGUAGAUAUAGGAAGGAACACCAGUGGCGAAGGCGACCACCUGGGCUCAUACUGACACUGAGGUGCGAAAGCGUGGGGAGCAAACAGGAUUAGAUACCCGAGU